rnacentral:rRNA from 1 species
CCUACGGGAGGCAGCAGUUAGGAAUCUUGGUCAAUGGCCGUAAGGCUGAACCAGCCCAGUCGCGUGAAGGAAGAAUGAUCUCUGGUUUGUAAACUUCUUUUAUAGGGGAAUAAAGGUAUCCACGUGUGGAUAUUUGCAUGUACCCUAUGAAUAAGCUUCGGCUCACUCCGUGCCAGCAGCCGCGGUAAUACGGAGGAUCCGCGCGUUAUCCGGAUUUAUUGGGUUUAAAGGGUGCGCAGAUUGUGUUUAAAGGCAGCGGUGAAAGUUUGUGGCUCAACCAUAAAAUUGCCGUUGAAACAGGCAGACGUGAGUGUGUUUGAGGUAGGCGGAAUGCGUGGUGUAGCGGUGAAAUGCAUAGAUAUCACGAAGAACACCGAUUGCGAAGGCAGCUUACUAGGCCAUAACUGACACUGAAGCACGAAAGCGUGGGGAUCAAACAGGAUUAGAUACCCGGGUAGUC